AACGAACGCUGGCAGCAUGCCUAACACAUGCGGGUCGAACGAGACCUUCGGGUCUAGUGGCGCACGGGUGCGUAACGCGUGGGAACCUGCCCUUAGGUUCGGAAUAACUCCCCGAAAGGGGUGCUAAUACCGGAUAAUGUCUUCGGACCAAAGAUUUAUCGCCUUUGGAAGGGCCCGCGUUGGAUUAGCUAGUUGGUAGGGUAAAAGCCUACCAAGGCGACGAUCCAUAGCUGGUCUGAGAGGAUGAUCAGCCACACUGGGACUGAGACACGGCCCAGACUCCUACGGGAGGCAGCAGUGGGGAAUAUUGGACAAUGGGCGAAAGCCUGAUCCAGCAAUGCCGCGUGAGUGAUGAAGGCCUUAGGGUUGUAAAGCUCUUUUACCCGGGAUGAUAAUGACAGUACCGGGAGAAUAAGCUCCGGCUAACUCCGUG
rnacentral:rRNA from 1 species